UACAGAGGGUGCUAGCGUUGUUCGGAAUCAUUGGGCGUAAAGGGCGUGUAGGCGGUUUGUUAAGUCAUGUGUGAAAUCCCUCGGCUCAACCGGGGAACGACGCAUGAAACUGGCAAGCUAGAGUACCAAAGAGGGGGGUGGAAUUCCCGGUGUAGCGGUGAAAUGCGUAGAUAUCGGGGGGAACACCUGUGGCGAAGGCGGCCCCCUGGUUGGAUACUGACGCUGAUACGCGAAAGCGUGGGGAGCAAACAGG
rnacentral:rRNA from 1 species